UACAGAGGGUGCAAACGUUGUUCGGAAUUACUGGGCGUAAAGCGCGUGUAGGCGGCCCUGUAAGUCGGGUGUGAAAUCCCACGGCUCAACCGUGGAAGUGCAUUCGAAACUACAGGGCUAGAGUUCUGGAGAGGAAGGUGGAAUGCUUGGUGUAGAGGUGAAAUUCGUAGAUAUCAAGCGGAACACCGGUGGCGAAGGCGGCCUUCUGGACAGUAACUGACGCUGAGACGCGAAAGCGUGGGGAGCAAACAGG
rnacentral:rRNA from 1 species